UUUUAGGUUACUGGAGAAGCAAAGAUAAUUGCAAUCUUUGAAGUGGAAGAUGAUUCAGUCAUUAACAAGGUUACUUUUAAUAUUAUGAAGAUGGGUCCCUACAAUGUGACGUGCACACCUCUAACUAGUUUUGAGAGUUGGGCCAAUCACUAAGGAAUUAAUAGCAGUGACACAGUGCCAGCUCGACGCAAAUUAUCCGGAAAGUGCGUCGUCUGGUUUGAAGUAGCACUGGAAAACACUGAUAUUACAUAUCAAGACUUUGAAUCUGUGUGGGCCACGAAAGUUUUUACAAUCAGCAAUGAACUUAGAAAUGGAUUCGAAAUAGAGAUUUUCAAAAUACUUGGGGAAAGAAGGUUAUAUACAUUCUCCUGUAAGAAUGAGUGUGACGACUGGGAAACCCAUAUACGGAGACUUCCAAUCGAAGACAACUUAUACAAGAAGCCAAAACUAGUUACACAGAUGUAUUAAAUACUAGAAAGUCGCGUUCUGAUCAAACUUUACAGAAACAUAAUGUAUUUGUUAAUGG